UCUUCAGCUGUGACUCCACAGAGUCUUGCUUUACAGGGUGUCUGCAAAAAUACAUAGUGCAUUUAGAAGCAAUACAGAAAAUAUGUUUUCCUUCUGCUAGAUAUGGUUUUCAAGGUAAAGGUACCUGCAGAGCUUUUCUGAUGGUGCAUCUUUAACUGAUGUAUCAAUACUAGCUGCAGUUACUCUGGUCUCAGUCUCUUCACGUGGCUCUAGAAUGCUUCCAAUUCCUGUUGAGGUACUACCCACCGAGGUGUUUCUUCUGUGGCAGAGGUCAGACAGACUGGAUGAUCUUGAGUGACAUGUGCUGUAUCCUGUUGGCAAAGUACAGGAGAGCUAGGUUAGCUAUGCUCUUGACAGCCAAGGUCAUGACUUACACAUUAGCAGCCUAAAAGCAGAAUUAUGCUUUGUUGUCUUCUAGAGACUUUGAAAGCCCUGUGGAUGAAGCGUGUGUGUACCAGCUAGCUACCUGACAGCUUUGACUGCUGACUUGCAUAGCUUGACGUUCUGGAAUGUCCACAUGCACCAAGUUCAUCUGGAACCGAGGCACUCUUCGAUGACAUAUCUGCAACAUGGGCAGAUAAACUUAGAGAAGUAAAAUGAGAUUCCACAGAUGUUAUCUCGGUGACUUUCUCAACAAAUAACCAAAGAGAGAGUUCUUUCUAUGGGCUAAGUAUUAACAUCUCUAAGAUCUGAAGUUUUCUCCUUGAAGCUAUGAAGCCAAAUAUUGAAGAACCAAGAUUAAGAGCAUUGUUUUAUACCUGAUAUGCCCAG